AUUGAACGCUGGCGGCAGGCCUAACACAUGCAAGUCGAGCGGCAGCGGAAAGUAGCUUGCUACUUUGCCGGCGAGCGGCGGACGGGUGAGUAAUGUCUGGGAAACUGCCUGAUGGAGGGGGAUAACUACUGGAAACGGUAGCUAAUACCGCAUAACGUCGCAAGACCAAAGAGGGGGACCUUCGGGCCUCUUGCCAUCAGAUGUGCCCAGAUGGGAUUAGCUAGUAGGUGGGGUAACGGCUCACCUAGGCGACGAUCCCUAGCUGGUCUGAGAGGAUGACCAGCCACACUGGAACUGAGACACGGUCCAGACUCCUACGGGAGGCAGCAGUGGGGAAUAUUGCACAAUGGGCGCAAGCCUGAUGCAGCCAUGCCGCGUGUAUGAAGAAGGCCUUCGGGUUGUAAAGUACUUUCAGCGGGGAGGAAGGCGUUGAGGUUAAUAACCUCAGCGAUUGACGUUACCCGCAGAAGAAGCACCGGCUAACUCCGUGCCAGCAGCCGCGGUAAUACGGAGGGUGCAAGCGUUAAUCGGAAUUACUGGGCGUAAAGCGCACGCAGGCGGUCUGUCAAGUCGGAUGUGAAAUCCCCGGGCUCAACCUGGGAACUGCAUUCGAAACUGGCAGGCUAGAGUCUUGUAGAGGGGGGUAGAAUUCCAGGUGUAGCGGUGAAAUGCGUAGAGAUCUGGAGGAAUACCGGUGGCGAAGGCGGCCCCCUGGACAAAGACUGACGCUCAGGUGCGAAAGCGUGGGGAGCAAACAGG
rnacentral:rRNA from 1 species